rnacentral:rRNA from 1 species
GAUUAUGGCUCAGGAUUAACGCUGGCGGCGUGCCUAAUACAUGCAAGUCGGAUGGUUAGCUUGCUAACCAUGGCGAACGGGUGAGUAACACGUAGGUAACCUGUCUAAGACACGAGGAUAACCAUUGGAAACGAUGGAUAAUACUGGAUAGGACAUUUGGAGGCAUCUUUGGAUGUUUAAAGAUUUAUCGGUAAUAGAGGGGCCUGCGGCGCAUUAGCUAGUUGGCGGGGUGAAGGCCCACCAAGGCGAUGAUGCGUAGCCGGACUGAGAGGUUGAACGGCCACAAUGGGACUGAGAACGGCCCAUACUCCUACGGGAGGCAGCAGUAGGGAAUUUUCGGCAAUGGGCGGAAGCCUGACCGAGCAACGCCGCGUGAACGAAGAAGUAUUUCGGUAUGUAAAGUUCUUUUAUUUGGGACGAAAAAUUAAAAUUGACUGUACCAAAUGAAUAAGCUCCGGCUAACUACGUGCCAGCAGCGGC